rnacentral:rRNA from 2 species
CCGUGAGUCUACGAUAAGUGGGAGCACGAAAGUGCGACCGCGUGCCUUUUGAUUAAUGAGCCUGCGAGUUACCGUAACUGGCGAGGUUAAUCCGAGAUAGGAGAAGCCGAAGGGAAACCGAGUCUUAACAGGGCGGAAGUCAGUUGCGAUAGACCCGAAACCGGGUGAGCUAUCCAUGGGCAGGUUGAAGGUGGGGUAACACCCACUGGAGGACCGAACCAGUUAGCAGUAAAAAGCUAUUGGAUGACCUGUGGAUAGGAGUGAAAAGCUAACCGAACUCGGUGAUAUCUGGUACUCCUCGAAACGUGUUUAAGCACGGCCUUGCAUGGUUAGUGGAGGGGGUAGAGCACUGAUUGGGCUAGGGGGGCGACCUCCAACCCCAGUCAAACUCCGAAUACCUCUACUCAAAGUGCAGGAGACAGACUGCGAGCGAUAAGGUCCGUAGUCGAGAGGGAAACAGCCCAGACCACCAGCUAAGGGCCCAGAGAGAUAGCUAAGUGUUAAAGGAAGUGGAGAGUCAAAGACAGCUAGGAUGUUGGCUUAGAAGCAGCCAUCAUUAAAAGAGUGCGUAACAGCUCACUAGUCGAGACUCACCGCGCCGAAGAUGUAAGGGGGCUAAAGCUAUCCUCCGAAGCUGUGGAACAGGAAACUGUUGGUAGAGGAGCAUUGUGUUGUAGGGAGAAGGCAGACCCGUGAGGGCUGUUGGACGAGACACAAGAGAGAAUGCAGGCAUGAGUAAACGAGAGGAGAGUGAGAAUCUCUCCCCCCGAAAGCCUAAGGGUACCUGGGGAAGGUUCGUCCGCCCAGGGUUAGUCGAGACCCUAAGGGGAACCCGAAAGGGGUAACCGAUGGGAAACCGGUUAAUAUUCCGGUACUGGCGUAGCAUGAGUUUUGGGGUGUGACACAGGAGGAUAGGCGUUGCGUACUAGUUGCAUAGUGCGUCCAAGUUUCGAGUCCGGAGAUCGCGGCAGGGAAAUCCACCGCNGGGAGGGUGAGGGACGAAUGGGAGUUCCUUCNGGGAGCAACAACGUUGAGUUCACACUGUCUAGAAAAGCAUCGCAAAGCGUUUGAGUGCUAAGCCAAUCGUUCUGAAAACCGACACAGGUAGGCAAGCUGAGAAGGCUAAGGGGAGCGGGAUAACUCCUGUUAAGGAACUAGGCAAAUUAGCCCCGUAACUUAGGGAGAAGGGGUACUCUGGUUGGUUAAGAGCUGACUGGAGUCGCAGUGACAAGGCAGCGGCGACUGUUUACCAAAAACACAGGGCUCUGCGAAUUCGAGAAGAAGACGUAUAGGGUCUGACGCCUGCCCAGUGCUGGAAGGUUAAGGGGAAAGGUUAGCGUAAGCGAAGCUUGAACCGA